rnacentral:lncRNA from 1 species
GCAGAGGGAAAAAAGGAGCUGCAUUUUUAUUUAACAGAAGAAGGGGAACAUAAAGAAAAGAAAGGUGUUCUCAGGAAUGUAGCCCGCAGCCUUGUCAGGCAGAAAAGGGGCAGCCUCUACACAAGAGCCAAGGAGAUCUGGUUCCUUCUAGGCCUCCAUUAGCCCAGGCAAAUCACGUCAUCUUUCUUUUUCUCCGUUCUCUUUUGGUGAAAUGGAAAUCCUGUGGCAUCUGGAAAAUAAAUCCACUACUCUGAUGGGAAAGCUGGCUACCCAAAGUCCAUUCCACUGGUGCUUGUGCUUUGCAAAGUA